AGUGAACGCUGGCGGUAGGCCUAACACAUGCAAGUCGAACGGCAGCACAGUAAGAGCUUGCUCUUACGGGUGGCGAGUGGCGGACGGGUGAGGAAUACAUCGGAAUCUACUUUUUCGUGGGGGAUAACGUAGGGAAACUUACGCUAAUACCGCAUACGACCUACGGGUGAAAGCAGGGGAUCUUCGGACCUUGCGCGAUUGAAUGAGCCGAUGUCGGAUUAGCUAGUUGGCGGGGUAAAGGCCCACCAAGGCGACGAUCCGUAGCUGGUCUGAGAGGAUGAUUCGCCCCCACUGAACUUAGAACCGGGUCAGAAUCCUACGGGAGGCCGCCGUGGGGAAUUUUUGACAAAUGGCGGAAGCCCGAUCCAGCCAUACCGCGUGGGUGAAGAAGGCCUUCGGGUUGUAAAGCCCUUUUGUUGGGAAAGAAAAGCAGCAGGUUAAUACCCCGCUGUUCUGACGGUACCCAAAGAAUAAGCACCGGCUAACUUCGUG
rnacentral:rRNA from 1 species